GAAGUAAAAGUCGUAACAAGGUCUCCGUUGGUGAACCAGCGGAGGGAUCAUUACCGAGUUUUCAACUCCCAAACCCUUUUGUGAACAUACCUAUCGUUGCUUCGGCGGACUCGCCCCAGCGUCCGGCCGGCCCCGCGCCGGCCGCGGCCUGGAUCCAGGCGGCCGCCGGAGACCCCCAAACUCUGUAUUCUCAGUAUCUUCUGAAUCCGCCGCAAGGCAAAACAAAUGAAUCAAAACUUUCAACAACGGAUCUCUUGGUUCUGGCAUCGAUGAAGAACGCAGCGAAAUGCGAUAAGUAAUGUGAAUUGCAGAAUUCAGUGAAUCAUCGAAUCUUUGAACGCACAUUGCGCCCGCCAGCAUUCUGGCGGGCAUGCCUGUUCGAGCGUCAUUUCAACCCUCGACUUCCCUUUGGGGAAAUCGGCGUUGGGGACCGGCCGUAUACCGCCGGCCCCGAAAUGAAGUGGCGGCCCGUCCGCGGCGACCUCUGCGUAGUAAUCCAACUCGCACCGGAACCCCGACGUGGCCACGCCGUAAAACCCCCGACUUCUGAACGUUGACCUCGGAUCAGG
rnacentral:rRNA from 1 species